UACGUAGGGGGCUAGCGUUGUCCGGAAUCAUUGGGCGUAAAGAGCGUGUAGGCGGCCCGGUAAGGCCGCUGUGAAAGUCGGGGGCUCAACCCUCGAAUGCCGGUGGAUACUGUCGGGCUAGAGUGCGGAAGAGGCGAGUGGAAUCCCUGGUGUAGCGGUGAAAUGCGCAGAUAUCAGGAGGAACACCAAUUGCGAAGGCAGCUCGCUGGGACGUAACUGACGCUGAGACGCGAAAGCGUGGGGAGCAAACAGG
rnacentral:rRNA from 1 species